AUUGAACGCUGGCGGAAUGCUUUACACAUGCAAGUCGAACGGCAGCACGGACUUCGGUCUGGUGGCGAGUGGCGAACGGGUGAGUAAUGUAUCGGAACGUGCCCAGUCGUGGGGGAUAACGUAGUGAAAAUUACGCUAACACCGCAUACGAUCUAUGGAUGAAAGCGGGGGAUCGCAAGACCUCGCGCGAUUGGAGCGGCCGAUAUCAGAUUAGGUAGUUGGUGGGGUAAAGGCCCACCAAGCCAACGAUCUGUAGCUGGUCUGAGAGGACGACCAGCCACACUGGAACUGAGACACGGUCCAGACUCCUACGGGAGGCAGCAGUGGGGAAUUUUGGACAAUGGGCGAAAGCCUGAUCCGGCCAUUCCGCGUGCAGGAUGAAGGCCCUCGGGUUGUAAACUGCUUUUGUACAGAACGAAAAGGUUUCUACUAAUACUAGGAGCUCAUGACGGUACUGUAAGAAUAAGCACCGGCUAACUACGUGCCAGCCGCCGCAGUAA
rnacentral:rRNA from 1 species